AACAAACGACACGUAGCUCUUUAGCUUUCGCAUUCCGGAUUACACGAGAAAGCGCUAGAAGGACGAGGGGUGUGGUGACACGUAUUGUGUCGUGCUGUUUUGAUUCUUCGAAGUUUUCAAAAAGAAAAAAAAGUUGAUGUUACGUUUGGAUAGCACCAAAAGAAAAUAGCAUAUCUGUGACGGUACUGCCAACAGCUAACAUUGUGGGUGUUCCAAAUUUAGAGCAUAAAAAAUAUUUUUUCCAUCGUUAUGGAACAGCGUUUACAAUAAUGUUCACUGCACUUUGAAAUUAUUUGCAACUGUGCUAAUCAAUGCAAUGUCAUGGUGCAUAAUAUGAAACGAAAACACUUUAAUGAAAAGGAAGACAGAAAGUACGAGAACGUUCCCGUAGAGUAAAAGUGGCCACGAAACCGAAACUGGCUCCCAUUGUGGAUGCAUUGCUGAGCCAAAUGGGUGCCUAUACCAGUCAGCAGGGAUCGCUCACGUUCUUGAAGGCGCUCAUUCACCCAGCAGCAUGACUGAUCUACAUACACUUAGCCACAAGAGAGUCGCCUUGAAGACUACACCUACUCUGCACUCAACCAACUUCAGGUCUGACCGCCGCCUUGGACAGUUGCUUCACAGCCGCUGGGGACUGAGGGCCAAGGGUUAAGUGCUGUAUUCAUGGGAGGUUGUGGCCAGGUGCUGCACUAGGGUGGCCAAUCCUGCUCUGUGGUUACCCGAUCCCUGUGGAAUUAUCGGCAAUGAACGGGCCGAUCAAGCUGCUUGCUCAUGCCACGCAGAAGGCUAUGAACUGCUACUGCUGCUUUAGGACCCAUGCUGCACGGAAGCUCCUCUAGCUUGCACGUCUUCACACCACGUCACAAUAGAAUUAUCCGCACAUGAUGCAUGCCCGAUAGUACUUGCUUGACCCUACAUUAAAUCUUGAAGACCCGUCAAGGCUUCGUCGAGCAGACGUGAGCCUUUUGUGUAGGCUGUUGUUUGGUCUUGCAUUUGCCAACGCGUAUACUUUCCACAUUGGGAUGGCUGGCAAUGUAGCCAGUGACUGCUGUGGCAAUGAAGAAACCAUUGGACCUACCUUUUGUGACUACCUACAGUAUUGUGCGCAAUGACAAUGCCUUUGCAAUGAGCUCGACAAAUCAGACAAUCAACUUCUGUCAAAGCAAAGAAUUUUACACCAUUGCCAGGAUGCAACGUGGCAUCAGAAGGCCCUGCAAACGCUACUGUGCUUUUAGCAAUUGACCAGCCCUUCUGAACAGUUGUAGCCAGAACACCUUUUCUGUAUAUGUGCUUUUGUUUUCACCUGCGUGCACGUACGUUUUUUAAGGGACGAAGCUUCUUAAAGCGUGGGUCUGUACAUCCUCCGAUGUAUGUAUUUGCAGAUAGCCACUUCUGGUUUAGUUUUUGCAGUGCUCACUAGAUGGCGGUACUUGUAGUUGAUAAAUUUAAAACUACAUGGCGGAACUUGUAGUUGAUGCAACGUUACUAGAUCCUGCCAGUUCUCAAACUGCGGAGCUCCACCUGACGCCGUUUCAUUGCGCUUUGCGUGGGGGCGCGCAUGACGGAGUUUGCCUGGCAAUUUGCGGCGAACCGCUAGACACGGACGACCGUUGUAAACAGCCCACUGCAGUGUGCUUAAUAACGUUUGCGCGAGUACCUGCAGAUGUUUGUGGACCAUGCUGGCUAGUGUAUGAACGAUUACACGCUUUUUUAUGCCCGGAUAUAAAAGCGGGUGCGAUUUCAUUCUACCUUCGGGGAACCAAAUGCUAUGCUCGUUUCUGUAGAAGAUGCAUUGACGAUUGCUGGAGAAGCUCAUAGCAGGUUAAAAAGAGCUAGCUUGCGCACUCAAAUUGAAGCUAGGCUAAGAAAUGAUAUCAUUUUCCAUGCAUUACUCCUGACCAAAUGAGUGAUGAGCACAGCUACUUCAAAGGUUCACCAGACGACAGUGCUACUUAGCUGGAUAUGUUGUACACAAAAUGACCGAGCAUAAAGAGUGCCAGUUGUGUCUACAGGACGUUAGUUCAGAAGCUAUUGGCUUUGAUGCAUACUUAACUACGUGCAGGAGCUUCAAGGAAGGCAGCCUUAGACACCCCAGCAUCAAGAUGCUACACUUAAUGAGAGUUGUAAAUGAAUCUAUUUCACUUCCUCUUGAUGAGAAAGGUCUCUGUGCGAACCUGUUUUGGAAUGUCUUGGACGAGUUGGAUUAAUGCAAUCUGACGAGGCUAGAUUGCGACCAGCACAAGCCUACGUUCACAUGUCAGGUCCUGUAUUUUUUCAUCGUGAGACGAAUGCAUAUUUACGCCAGGGAUGUCAACUGACGCCUUGAAACCCGCGAGAAUGUUUUCAUCACCACCAAGAAAGCUCGCCUAUUGUAAAGCCGUUGAACAUUUGCAUUGUGUGCGUGCACGUGUCUUGGGCCUGGGCAAUAAAAGCAUUUUUCGGCACUGAGAA
rnacentral:lncRNA from 1 species